GUUUUUAUUAAUCGUGGGUGUAUUUUAUUAUUCCCAGUGGAGGUAUGACUUAAUUGAUACAGAUAUAAAAAUGAAUAAACUAAAAGUGGCCUCUAAGGGAACCAGUGGUGAUCACGGGUCAUGGACGGUGGAUAGUAGGUGUCCGGAACCCUGAGGUUCAAUACAAUAAAUAUUCUGUUUUCUCUAUUGAUCGUAUGGGUAGAUGUUAGGAAGUAUAAAGAUCAUGUUCUUAUUUUGGAUGAAUACGUUUAGAUGUGUUGUUAUGAAUGGACCAAUGAUAGAACCACUAAAGGAAAUAUAAAUAAUAGAGUAAGAAGAAAAGGCAAAUUAUUGUCUCAUUAGGAACGUAACAUGGUGAAGCAAGAAAUACUAACAAAAUUUGCAAACACUGAUGCCCAUUAUGAAAUAGAUGUUUCCAGGGUGUCUCUUCUUUUGCCAAAGAUUCUAUAGAUAUGAAUAAUUAAGAGUCAGUUUUAUUAUUCUGGAUCAGUGUCAAGUUUGAAGGUUUCCUUUUUGUUAAGAGAAAAAAUCUACAUUAUGAAAGAUUUAUAAAUUCCUAAAUGAGUAAGUUCAAUGUGGAAAGCAAGAAUCAGUGGGAAUAAAAAUGUCAUCACUUUUUUCUGUCAUCACUGUGAUUUGUACUUCUCAGAAUGGACACAUUCAAGCUAAUCAGGCAUUCCUCCCUGGUUGGUGAGCUUGGUGACAGCAUCUGUGUGUCAGAAGCACAGAGAUGGAUAAACAGGCACGCUGCACCUGAUGUAAGGAUCCUUCCCUGAUCAGGAGCUCUAGGAUUGCUCUGGAAGGAGUAGGAAGAUCAGUUACUCUUCAGAACGGAUGCUCUAGCUGAUUUCAGCUUCUGCCCUGAUGAAGAAACAUUGUUGUGUGGCCUGGGUCUUAGGAGGGUAAGCCAAGGUGAGUAGCAAGAGAUUUUGUCUUGGUGUGGGUCAUUUCCCUUAGGGUAUUCACAGUGUUAUUAAAAAUUCAUAAAUAGCAUCAAAAAGUAAGAUGUUGCCCAAUGGUAAACACAGCUAGGAAACAUUCCGAUUAAGUGAUGAUACGUAACAUGGAGAUUGACUGAUGAGAGAGAGUUAAUCUAUGUUGGCAUUUAUUCUAUAGAUAGAAGUUAGGGAAUUCAACCUGCUGAUUCUUCAGUUUUUGUUAAUGAUGUAUUUUGCUAUAAUCGAUGAGUUAAUGAUGUAACUGGUAUAAAUGUCGAAAUGAAUGAAGAAAAAGUGGGUCUUUUAUGUACCUGUGAUAAUGACUGGUGGCAGAUGAGUUAGGGACGCUGAAUGAGGUCCAGGUCAAUACGUAGUCUUUCUCUCUGUUUAUUUGAUCCUAAGGACACAUUUUUGGAUAGUACAAAGAAUGUUUUUACUGGGUUCAUAGAUUUAGAUGUAUUAUUAGAAAUAGAUCAGUAAUAGAACCAUUGAAGAUGUAGAAACAGCAGAUAAAUACAAAAACGUGAGGCCUUGUCCAACUUUCAAGACCUGUUUUUAGGCAAGAAAUAUUAAUAAAAAUUGUGAACACUGACACCCGUUAAGAAUUAAAUGGAUCAAGAGUGUCACUUCUUUGGCCAAGGGUCAUUUAGACAUUAGCAAUUUAGAGUCCAUUUUAUUGUUCUUGAUCCAUCUCAAGUUUGAGGAUUUUUGGUGCUGUUGUUGUUAAAAGAAAAAAAAACAAUGUUAUGAAAUAUUCAUAAAUAUCUGAACGACUGAGUAAAUGAAAUGUGGAAAGCAAGCAUCAAUGUAAGUAAAUGUUUUGUUUUAUUUUAUUUUUUAUCACCAACUCUGCUUUUCAUUUCUCAAAAUGGACACACCUCGAGCUGAUUUAAGCAAUAUUCUGUGGCGGUGACCUCUGUGGUUGCAUGUUUGUGUUAGAAGCACAGAGAACCAUAAUGGACACACUUGAGCUGAUUUAACGUCUUCCACGAUUAUGGAGCUCUAUGGUUGCCUCUAUAUAAUGGGAGGAUGGGGAUUAAUACCAUUGGACGUGCUUUAAGGAUUCUCACCUGAUCAAGAGCCCUUGGGUUGCAUUUCUGUACUGGGGAGACAGGAGACCAAUAAUGGACACACCUGAGCUGACUAAGCAUUGUUUCGUGGUGGCAAGCUCGUGAUUGCGUCUGUGUGUUAGAAGCACAGAGACCAAUAAUGGAUAUCCCCGAGCUGAUUAGAGCAUCUUCCAUGGCCAUGAUCUCCUGGUUGCCUCUAACAAUGGAUGCACUCAAGCUGAUCGUAACAUUCCUCCAAGGUCGUGAGCCCUCAGGUUGCAUCUAUGUUGUAGGAGCGUGGAGACCACAACAGACACAUUGCGCCAGAUUUAAGGAUUCUUCCCUGAUCACGAGCUCUCUCUAGGGUUGCAGCUCUGUUACAGGAGUCUGGAGACCAACGUGAGUCAUCAUCAAAGUUCUUAUCUUUGUUCCUCGGUUUUGUUUGAGGAUAUUCACUGUAUUGGUAAAAGGUAUGAAAUAUAAUCAAAGCAUGUGAACUGUAUCCUGGUAACGAUUACGGGAUUAGUAUGAAGUAUUACUUUGAUUAAUACAUACGUGAGAGGCUGAUGGUAGUUAAUGACAGAGAUCUUUUGUUGUGAGAAUGAUUCUAGUCCCAUAAGAGGGAUAGCAAGGCCUUGUUUUUAAUACUACAGUUUCAAAAUUAUAACUAGUGAAUUACUGAAUUAAUCAAUAAACAAUAUAGAACUAAAUGGAGAGACAGUGGUGCUCCUUGGAUCAGUGAUGAUAACUGCCAGGGUAGGAGUCAUGCGUGAUGAAGGAUGUGUGUGUGGAACCCCGAGGUCCAACAGAAAAGAAAUGUGAGUUUUUUCCAUGCAAAGAGUUCCUCACUUUAUUGUUAUCUGCUCUGAUCUGUACUCCUCAGAAUGGACCCACUUGAGCCGAUGUAAGCCUCUUCCGAGGCAUGCGGUCUCCAGUUGCAUCUAUGUUGUUAGGAACAUUGGAGACCAGUGUGAGUAAUGUCAAUGCUUGAGCUUAGGUGGUUUCUUUAAGGGUAUUCCCUGUGUUAUUCCAAAUAUUAAAUACAGUCAAAGAAGGCAAAAUACACCAGUGUUAAAUACCAGAUUGAUACGGCACAUUGAGUUGAUGAAUCCAUUAAUGUAAAUCUUGAGGUUAGCUUUUGAAACAAAGAGUUAGUCUCUGGAAAAGUUUGGAGAGAUAAAGGCUGUUAAGGGAUCUUGUAUUUAUGUGUUUUUAAUUCUGUCUAUGAAUUUUGUGAAGCCAUAAGCAAAUGUUUAUGAGAAUAACAAGAAAGAGGCCUAAUCAUGAACAGUGAUGGUGAAUGGUGGUGGAUGAGCCACACAUUCACUGGACAAUGAAUACUACGUGUCUGGAUUCUGAGGUCCAGUAUAAUACGUAGUGUAUUCUGUUUAUUUAAUCCUAUAGACAGAUGUUAGGUUUAUGUCCAAUAUAGGAACUUGGCUGAUAGCCGUUGAUUUAUUAUUGUUAAUGGACAAAUUGUAGGACUAUGAAAGAAAUACAAAGAAUAAAUAAGAGAGGGUGAAGCAUUGUUCAACUAUGAACAUAUAUGUGGGCAGGCAUGAGAUAUUAUUAACACAACUGAAAACACUGAAACUCAUUAAGGAAUAGAUGGAUUAGGAGUGUCACCUGUUUGACCAAGGAUCAUGUUAGCACAGGUAGUUAAGAGUCAGUUUUUUGUUGUGGAUCUAUUUCAAGUUUGCUGCUGUUUAUUUUGUUAAGAUGAAAGUAUUUACACAAGGAAUCAUUAUAAAUUCCUAAGUGAAUGGGUAAAAAAAUGUGGAAAUAUAGGAUCAAUGGGAAUAAAAAUGUAACUUUUUUUUUUUUAAUCAGUUAUGCUUUGUUCUUCUCAGAACGGACACACUUGACCUGAUUCAAGUAGCACGACCCGGUGGCAGAGGGACCGAUGUGCGUAAGAGUCGGGAGUUCUUGUCUGGCUUUCAAACGAUGCACUUGAGCUGAGUUAGCAUCUUCCAUGGUCAAGAGCUCUAUGGUUGCCUCUCUAUAGUAGGACAGAAAUUAAUAAUGGACACCCUUGAGCUGAUUUAAGGAUUAACCCACAGUCAUCAUGUUUAUGUUGGCAUCUCCCUGUUAGGAGCAUGGAGAUCAAUAAUGGACACACCUGAGCUGAUUUAACAUCUUUCAUGGUCACGAGCUCUGUGGUUGCAUAUGUGUGUUAGGAGCAUGGACACCAGUAAUGGACUCGCUUGAACUGCUGUAAGCAUCUUCCAUGGUCCUGAGCUCCUGGUUGCAUCUAUUUAUUAGGAGCAUAGAGACCAGUAAUGAAGACCCUCAAGCUGACGUAACCAUCUUCCACGGCCAUGAACUCCAUAGUUACAUCUCUGCAUUAGGAGCAUGGAGAUCAAUAAUGGGCACGGCCAUGCCAAUUUUGGCGUUCUGUCAUGGCCCCGAACUCAGUGGUGUCUUUGGAGAACGGAGACCCUUGUGUGUGAGUAGCAGUCGAACUUUUUGUCUUGGUUUGGGCAAUUUUUAAGAGUGGUCAAUGCAUUUUUAAGAAGUAGGAAAUAGAAUCAAAGGCCAAACAUGACCCAGUAAUAAACACGGGACUGGUACAAAACAUUAUGUUGAGAUGUCCAUAUGUGAAACACAGAGACCGAUUUCAGAAACAGAUCUAACAUCUGUGGGAAACGAUUUCAUAGAUAGCUAUUACGGAUAUCGAGGCUCUUAUUCUGGGUGUUUUGGAUUCACGUAUAUUUCUUCAUGAGUAAGUAGUGAAUUAAUGAAUAAGUCAAUUGACAAAAUAUAAAGGAAAAGAAUUCACAAGCUUGGGCCAUUGAUGGUGCCUGGUGGUGUAAGAGUCAAGGAUGACGAAUGAUACAUGUCUGGACCCCUGUAUGGAAGGUGUUGAAUCAAUACAUUGUACACCUGAAACUAAUAUUACACUGUAUGUUAAUUAAUCGGAAUUGAAAUAAAAACUUAAAAAAUAAAAUAGUUCAUAUUCAUUUCCCCCUUUUUUUCCAUCUACUUUCUACUUUACGGAAUGGAUACACGUAAGCCGAUAAUCAUUCUGUAAUGAUCAGGACCUUGAUGCUUCAAUAUUCCCCUGUCCAAGAGGAAUGGCGAGUUCGACGAAGUUCUAGAACAAUGCCAGUUUGGAUGGGAUGGGUCCAGACUAUGCACCUUUAAGACAGCAUAACAUGCCGUUCUGCCAGGGACAGAUGACGAGAAAACCUUCUCCUUCCUGAAGACUGGAUUUCAGCUCAAAUCAUUGGCCUUUCUCCUUCGGACUGAAUCAGGAAAGAGCAGUGUGUGCCUCGAAGUCACCAGAACCUUCCAGGCUUUGGGCUCCUCAUCUGUGAGAGGGAAGUGAGUUUCAUUCAUUUAUCCUGCAGAAAUCUUGCUGUGGGCUGUGCCUGGUGGGUGUGCCACACGUGGCCUGGCAGGCAGACCCAGCAGGGAGCCACGGGAGCUGCCACUGGAGCUGGGCUUCAGAGUGGCUGGCCUCCUCCGCGCCCCUAAACCUGUGGGCGCUGCCCGCUCCCCUUCCACCAGCACCCCCUCUGUGUUCUCUGGGCCUCAGCAGCCACCGAGGACCUUCAGGAAGGGUGACGUUUCCCUCUUCCCUACAUCUGAGACUCGAGUUGGAGCCAACGGCUGCCCAGCCUCAGUGUCCCCAUCUGUAACCACGGGAGAAAGAUGAUGGCAGGGCUCUCUGCCGUUCCCAUUUUGCCUGUCGUGGGGAAGGAAUGGAUAGCUCUCCCUUGGACUCGGGUCCCAGCCCCCCUUCCCUCUGUCCUCCAGGCCCUUGAUCUUCACUGGUCUCUUUGGGGCUGACUUGUUAUAUUUUUCUUUUCCCUCAGAUCAGCAGGAUAAAAUAAAAGACAGUCCUGCCUGCUUGGCAGGGGCCUGACCCUGUCCCCGGCAGAUGUUCCCGGGGACAGCAGGAGCUGGUGACCCCCGCCAGCAGGGGCUGCUGGCAGCUGCCCAGAGGGGACAAGGGCAGGCCUGGGCACAUGUGUCCCUGCCGUGGCUUCUCUUUCCUCGGCUGGCCCCUCCCCUCCACUGUCCCCGGGCACCACAGGGAUCCUGGCCUCAUUUUCUGAUGGGCCCCCUCCGUGGGGUUCUCCCCUCCGUGGGGAGCCCCCCCCCCCCGGCCAGAGUUCAGACUUCUAAAAGGGCUACUCGUCCAAUCCCCUGCGCCCCUGGGGUCACUUGCUGCUUCCCUGCGACUCUGGGCCCCUGCCCUUCCUGUUCUUGUCAGUCCUCUCUAUACAUACCCUUUGCCCUGUCCCUCCUCCCGCCAGCACCCCCCAUCCCAUGGCUCCACAGGUCACCUAUCCAAAUAUUUAGUACCCUGGUGAGUGGUGGGCCCACAUUCCUCGGUUUGGCUGUUUAUGCAGCUGGUGGGCGCUCCUCGGCCUUGGGAAAGCCAUACUUGAAGUGUGGGGGGUCACCCAAGGUGGGUAGCAUUUCCUUCGAGUGGCCCGGGACCCUCUGACCUGAGUCCUUCACUUUGUGGGUCUCCUGGUUUCUUCUCCAGCACACCCCUUCUCAGGGACUGCACCCUGUGCAGGCUUGGAUCCCUACUGGGAAGAAGGACGAGGCAGAGUGGUGGAUGGGAGGGGCUGGCGUUGGCCAGAGGCUGAGGCCUCGAUGCAGGGUGGCCAUUCUCUGGGGUGCAGCAGGGCACAAAGGAAAGGGGUUUUGUGAGCUAGAAAGCGCUGGGCAGCUAUUGGAGAAAGAAGGGAGGGAGAGGGGCCCUACAGGGCCCCCCAGCCUGCCUCUGCAUAGCCCCCAGGGGGGCCGCUCCUCUCUUAAGGUCUCCCCUCUCCCCCAGCACUGGCUCGAGUUGAUAGGUGCUGUUACGUUUGCAUCUCACUGAGACCUCCGGUGCUGCAGAGGUCCUGUAGAGGCUCAGAUGAGAACAGGGAACGCCGCUCAGUGCCCAAGUCCAGGGCAUGUCCCAUACCCCUGAAGCAGCUGUCACACUGGAUUCCUCCCUGGGAUGCACUGGACGGUGCAGCAGAGAGAUGCCCUGAGCACAGAGUCCGGAUGUCUGUCAUUCCCAUCUGGGAGGCUGCUGGCCCCGUUCUUCGUGCGAAGGGGCUUGGGCCCUGAGGGUGUGGCAGCACAUGUCUGUGGUUUGCUCAUCAAGACUAAAGAACGUAACAAACUUUUAUGGCUAAGUCUACCAAUUCUGUGACAUUUUGUAAAAGCCCUGCAAGGAAACAUCUGGAAAAUUCCCUUCCUGCUCCUGACAAUUGUUGCAAACAGCACGUUUCAAAAUAUACUCAGAACGUCCGGGCUGCAAAGCCCAGAGCUGACUCCUGGCCUGGCCUGACCGGCUAGGGGACAGGGUGGGUGCAGGGCCACCCUCGGCCCACCUGCGCUUGCCCCCUUCCCCAGAGCCCUCUGGGUGCCCGCUUGCCCUCUGCUGUGAUCUCAGGGAGAACCUCAGUUUGGGAGGGUGUCCAUCUGUCCUUGAGACCAGCCCAUUUCUGUCCCAGCAGGGAGAGUGGCUAGGAAUGGCCCAAGCAGGGCUCCAAAUCCAGACGUAGUCAGGGGUGGGUCUCAGCCUGUGAGGUCAGGGCUGGCGGGGCCGUUGCGUGACCAUGGGGCUCUAGGAGCGUCCACCCAGCAUGGUGGGGGAGGGGGGGUGGAUAAGUCACUUAGUGUCUGGCUCUGGGUUGGAGCUAGGCAGGGUUUAUGGAUGGGCAUUAAAUCCUUCAAAGGCUCAAUAACGAUAAUAGAAGAGCCAUUCAUGGAUCUUCAGUCACUGGUGUCAUGGAAUCAAGACUGUAAUCAGUUUAGUCCCAGGGGUACAGAGGAUGAUAGUGUAUUACUUAGUAUGUAAGUAUUUAAUGAAAUAUUUAGGAUUUAAGGGCUGCAGUAACUCCCAAAGUCUGAAAGCACCGACCCGCUAGGCCAGGCCCAAGAUGCCCAGUGCUCCUCGUCCCCCGCCUCGCUCUCCUCCACCCUGCUCCAGCCUGAGUUUCUCGUGAUGCCAGUUCACCCUUCCCUUCAGCUCUGUCACUGUGGGAGGGUCUCCCCACCUGGAGGUGCUCGGGACCUGCCGCUUGGAACUCCCAUGUGUGAUUCCAUGGCUGGCCACUUCCCGUGGAAUUCUGAGUAUCCGGAGGGCAGCCGCUGGCUCCUUCCAGCUCCACGUACCCCGUGCUGGCCUUGCCAUUCUCAGAGUGCUCCCCAGGGAGUGUCUGCGAGGGACCCAUGCGAGUCAGACACGCUCACGCAGGCUGGAUUUGGUCUUGUGACUUGGCCCUCUUGUCUUCGUAGGUCAUUCUGCAUGGAGCCGUGGAGGUGUGGUUUCCUGAGCACGAGUUUUCCCGAGGACGCUUCUGAUGCGGGGAGCCCCUGCUUCACUGGAAUGUCUGGUUCUGGUCACUGGGGAUUCAAAGCAGAGGCCAGUGUGACCCCUUCCUGCCCAGAGGAGUUCCCAUUCCAAGAGGAGACAUGAGUGGCGUCCUCUCCAAUCAUGGACACAGAGAAACUAAAAGCCAUCAAAAGGAAC